rnacentral:lncRNA from 1 species
CCAUGUUUUCAGAAAAACAUAUUACCCAUUCUUUUGGUUGAAAUGAAUCUAAGAAAGCAACUUGUGUGUUCAUUCUGAAACACCUAAAGCUUGACUCGACUACAUUUGUACAGUAGCAUUAAGAAAUUGGAAAGGGUUCCAUCAGUUACAGAUUCACCCAUGAAGGGCACAAAAACAUCCUGAAGAAGUAAAUCUAAUACCAUACAAAGUAUGUUACAGUUUUUGAAAUUUUUCUACCAGUGCAUGAUCAGCAAAUCGACCGUCCUUCAGUUUUAAUAAAUCAAUCUAAUUUAAUGGCAACACAACACCUUACAAUCACCCAAAAUUCCAUGAAUAUGGACAUAUCACCACUAUUGUGAAGUCGUAGAUGGUAAUGGCCAUCGCGCAAUGUGAGCCUCGGAGAGGAAGAGCAGGGUUUGGCAGAGCCAACCUUCACAGGUUGGCAGCAGACACACUUGUCAUUGCUCACACGUGCGCUGCUCCCGCGCCCAUCAUCUUGGCUGCCACUCCCGCCACUAGCAAGAUGCACAUAGCACACUGGAACAAACAAAAAAAUAUGAGAGAAGUACUGAACAAACUUUGACAGUGAGAAAGAAUCAAAGUGCUACAGCCAAAUAAACUCCUCACUAUCACCAGCAAGAUUUAGUCUGAAUUAUGCAUAUCAUUCCUUCAAAGCAUUCAUAUACUCUGAGUUAAUCAACAAUAAUCAUGAAGCACACGUGUCUACCCAUGUCGUAGGCCAUCGACUCCAGUCCCCAAUGGACUCCUUCAACAAUGCAAUGUCUUCCUGUAGCAAUGCAAAAUUCAGUAACAAAGACAACAAGCCUAGUGAGAGAGUCAAUAGCAAAAUAAACACUUUCAACCAAUUCCCGAGAAACAGAGAGUACGCAUAGGAACUUACCAUUGAUGUAACAAUGCAAUGCCAUUUCAUAUUUGUAGCUGGUUGGUUUUAGAGGGAUUCUGGUAAAAAAUCUAAAUUAUUUAAGGUUGCCUCUUUCCAGAAAUGAAAUAGAAAUGUAAAUUCAGUACGCAUGUGGAUAAGAAUAAAAUGAAACUUCCUAUCUGCAUUAAAACAUCAAGCUCCAUACUGAAAAAUUAACAGGUCACAACAAAUCACUGGAAAGUAGCAUUUCAUAGAACUAGCUCUUUGCUCAGCUUAUUUUUCCCACCUCUCUCAGUUUGAACUUCCUUAUUGAUUAUUGUUGAAUCCAUUUUAUAACAAAAAAAAAGAGUCACUCAAGGUAAACGUGAACUUUGAUCCAAAACUAUAAGAACAAGGAAAAUGCCUUUUUACCUGUGUUUCUUACGAUGGUUUCCCUUUACAUAUGUGUUGUUGUAGUUAGCUAGCCGCAGAUGAAGCAUCAAGAACACAAGUCAUGAUCAAAUAUUGCUUCCAGAUGGAAUUUCCUCAAACAAGUUAUGUGCACGUGUUGUACUUUCCUGUUGAAAAUAUGAACAACAACAAACAUGUCAUCAUUGUAAUGAAAUUGAAGGACGUCUAUGAAUUCGACAUUCAAACUUCAUAAGGGCAUUACUAACUAAUCUUCCUCCAUAUAUCUGCAAGUAUCCGUGAAGGAAAAAAACAUCUCCAAGUUACGUUGAUCUGAUUCAAGCUCCAUACAAAUCCUAAACAAAAUCAAAUCAGGAGGUACCUGGCGCUUGAUUUGAUAUGGACAUGACGGCACCAUUUGUGGAGAGAAGCACUUGGGGAGGUCAAUGGCGAGCAAGGCCAUGGCGGUAGUGACGACGCAGGACAAAGGCGCGCGGAGAGGAGAGGCCAGCACCGCUGCAUUCCCUGCUUGGGAGCUGCUUGGGAGCCGGAUGUCACGCGCUCCCGGCCACCCCAUCGGGCCCCGUGUGGUGCUCCACUCUGCUCUGGCAGCGGCGGGAUCAAGCCCUAUGUGGAUGUGCUCAUCCGGCGACCCACAUCUCCUGGCUUUGCACCCCCCUCGUCCACUUCUCUCCUCUAUGCCCAGGCUCCUCCCACCGCUGCUGCUGUCUCUCUAUCAGUGAGUAGGUGGAAGAGGAAGGCGAGGUUGAGGCGCCCUGUCCAGAUCUUGGCCCUGAAGAUUAAACACGAACAAAAAAGGUAAAUCAACAGAAAGGAAAUGGGAGGAGCAGAUCCAUGGAAGGAGGUCGGGCGGCUCACUGGGCACCAUCUAGGGUCGUCUCCGCCACCGCCUCUACGCAGGCUCCUGGCCGGCCGAUGACCAGGGCGUCGCGCCACCCCGCUUUUCCUUGGCUAGCUCAUGCGUUUAGGCGCGGCCGUCGCUGGUGAUGAGGUGGGUGUGACAAGGAGACGAGGAGGGGCUUGGGGCGGAUCAGGAAGGGGGAGGUGGACAGAUGCAGGAGGGCGCGACUAGGGUUCGUGGGGGUGGCGGCUGAGAAAGGGAGGACCGGAGGAGGGAGAGGUGCGGGCUGGCGGCUGUGGGGAUUGGUGGGCCAAUGGGCUUUCCAGGAGGCUCAACCAAUUAGAUCCUCACACCAACGAAGCCAGCCAAUACAUGACGACCCCACCGACAAAGAGGCCCACCGGUCAUGCACAUGGGAAAGAAAUAACAUGGUGAAACAUGCAGUCAAUAUCCAAUGGUGAAGGAGAGGCAUGGUGGGAAUUUUACCUCGAUCUGACGGCCAGCGAAGGAACCGGUCGAGGGAGCCUUCUCCAUGCGAGUUGGCUAGCCUCAUUAUUGUUUUAAAUUAAGGCCUCCUUUUAAUAGAGUAUCAUACCAAAGCAUUAACACUUAGUGAAUACAUGAACUCCUCAAACUACGGUCAUCACCGGGAGUGGGCCCGAUUAUUGUCACUUCGGGGUUGCCGGAUCAUAACACAUAGUAGGUGACUAUUGACUUGCAAGAUAGGAUCAAGAACUCACAUAUAUUCAUGAAAAAAUAGGUCCAGAUCUGAAAUCAUGUCACUCAAGCCCUAGUGACAAGCAUUAAGCAUAGCAAAGUCAUAGCAACAUCAAUCUUAAAACAUAAUGGAUAGUAGGGAUCAAACCCCAACAAAACUAACUCGGUUACAUGGUAAAUCUCAUCCAACCCAUCACCGUCCAGCAAGCCUACGAUGGGAUUACUCACACACGGUGGUGAGCAUCAUGAAAUUGGUGAUGAAGGAUGGUUGAUGAUGAUGAUGGCGAUGGAUUCCCCUCUCUGGAGCACCGAACGGACUCCAGAUCAGCCCUCCCGAGGAAGAACAGGGCUUGGCGGCGGCUCCGUAUCGUAAAACGCGAUGAAUCCUUCCCUCUGUUUUUUUCUCCCCGAAAGUGAAUAUAUGGAGUUGGGGUUGAGGUCGGUGGAGUCCCAGGGGGCCCACAAGGCAGGGGCGCGCCCCUGGGGGGCCUGCACCCUCAUGGACAGGGUGUGGGCCCCGUGACGUUGAUUCUUUCGCCAAUAUUUUUUUAUUAAAUCCAAAAUGUGUCUCCGUGGAUUUUCAGGUCAUUCCGAGAUCUUUUAUUUCUGCACAAAAAUAACACCAUGGCAAUUCUGCUAAAAACAUUGUCGGCCCGGUUUGUUCCAUUCAAAUCAUGCAAGUUAGAGUCCAAAAUAAGGGCAAAAGUAUUUGGAAAAGUAGAUACGUUGGAGACAUAUCAACUACCCCAAGCUUAAACCUUUGCUUGUCCUCAAGCAAUUUAGUUGACAAACUGAAAGUGAUAAAUAAAAACUUUUACAAACUCCGUUUGAUUUUGUUGUUGCAAAUAUGUAAAGCCAGCAUUCAUGUUUUCAACAAAGAUUAUGAACUAACCACAUUCACAAUAACAUUAAGGUCUCAUGUUUACUCAUAUCAAUGGCAUAAUCAACUAGCGAUUGAUAAUAAUAAAUCUCGGAUAACAACACUUUCUCAAAACAAUCAUAAUAUGAUAUAACAAGAUGAUAUCUCGCUAGCUCUUUCUGAGACCGCAAAACAUAAAUGCAGAGCACCCCUAAAGAUCAAGGACUGACUAGACAUUGUAAUUUAUGGGAAAAGAGAUCCAGUCAUAGUCAUACUCAAUGUAAACUAAUAGCAAUGCAUGCAAAUGAUAGCGGUGCUCUCCAACUGGUGCUUUUUAAUAAGAGGAUGAUGACUCAACAUAAAAGUAAAUAGAUAGGCCCUUUGUAGAGGGAAGCAGGGAUUUGCAGAGGUGCCAGAGCUCGAGUAUUGAAACAGAGAUAAAUAAUAUUUUGAGCAGCAUACUUUCUUUGUCAACAUAACAACCAAAAGA